rnacentral:misc_RNA from 1 species
UCUCCGUAGGUGAACCUGCGGAGGGAUCAUUACUGAGUGAGGGCUCACGCCCGCCCUCCAACACUUAGUGAACCAAACUUGUUGCUUCGGGGGCGACCCUGCCGCUUCGGCGGUGCGGCGCCCCCGGAGGCCAUUAAACACUGCAUCAUUGCGUCGGAGUUAAAGUAAAUUAAACAAAACUUUCAACAACGGAUCUCUUGGUUCCAGCAUCGAUGAAGAACGCAGC